CCUACGGGAGGCUGCAGUGGGGAAUAUUGCACAAUGGGCGCAAGCCUGAUGCAGCCAUGCCGCGUGUGUGAAGAAGGCCUUCGGGUUGUAAAGCACUUUCAGCGGGGAGGAAGGCGUUAAGGUUAAUAACCUUGUCGAUUGACGUUACCCGCAGAAGAAGCACCGGCUAACUCCGUGCCAGCAGCCGCGGUAAUACGGAGGGUGCAAGCGUUAAUCGGAAUUACUGGGCGUAAAGCGCACGCAGGCGGUCUGUCAAGUCGGAUGUGAAAUCCCCGGGCUCAACCUGGGAACUGCAUUCGAAACUGGCAGGCUAGAGUCUUGUAGAGGGGGGUAGAAUUCCAGGUGUAGCGGUGAAAUGCGUAGGGAUCGGGAGGAAUCCCGGUGGCGAAGGCGGCCCCCUGGACAAAGACUGACGCUCAGGUGCGAAAGCGUGGGGAGCAACCGGGAUUAGAACCCUAGUAGUC
rnacentral:rRNA from 1 species